AUCUGCCGUUCUCUUUUGUUUUCCAAGGAAAAAACAAAACACCCUCUCCCCUUUUGUCUUUCCAACGAUCGAGCUCCCUCACCGCCCACCGUACCACCACCAUUUUCGGUGGCCGGUGACGCGCAACAAUAGGUAUUUCAACCGAGGAGGGAUCUCCGGCGACGAAGCCCCGAGCGAUUCCGGUGAGGCCCUCUACUCCCUCAUUUUAUUUAUUUUCGUGCCCACUUUAUUUAAUAGAUUUGCAAGUAAAGAUAAAAAGAAACUAAAAGAGAUUAGCAAUGAAAUGAAAACAAAGAGAAUAAAUCGGAAAUCACCCUUUUUUUAUCUGUUUUGCUCUUGAUUUUUAUUGCUAAACGUUCGUGUCCAAAAAAAACUACAAAUGGAUGUUUCGACUUUUAUAACCGAAUUACAUAGAUUCGUUUUUUGUUUUUUUUCUUCUUGUCUGCUAUUUUUUCUUCUUCGUUUCUUGUGUUUCGCGUGCUAGUUUCGUCUUGCAGGUGUCAGGCGCGUGGAAGGCUGAUGGUUGGUGCCCCAAGCGGUGGUGGUGGCGCGCGUGAUGGCCAAGGGCAGAGGGGGGAGUGGCGGCUGAACUUUGGUGGCUAGGGUUAGGGUGGCUGCUGAAAAAAAGUUUAAGAUAGUGGGCUGACUUGGGCUUUAGGGUUUUAGGUUAUUGGGUUUAUUUUGGGCUAAAAUCUGGGUAUUGGGUUUUAAUUAGGUUUUGUUUUAAUUUUGGGCCAUGUAUUGGACUAUUUUUUUGUUUAUUUGGUUUGGGUUCUUUUAGGCCAAAAUUGGCUAUUACAAGAAACACUAAAAAAUAAAUCCAAUUUAACACUAAAAAUAUAUAAAAUUAGUUAAAAACAAAUAAAAUAAAAUUCUAAAUUCAUACUAGAAUAAAAUACACAUAACUUUAAGAUAUUAGAUUUAUCAAUGUCUUAUUCAUGCUUAUAACAUACCGUUUAGGGUUCAUGCGUUGUUCAAUAUUCAUAUGUCACGCUUGUUUAUCUUAACUUUGAUGUUAUGCUUUUAUUCUAUUUGAGUUGCUUCAAUAAUGAAUGUAGUGUGUUGCAUCCAAAUCCAUCAAUUUGAAGAAUGUAAGAUGUUACAAUUAUAAAUCCCAUAACUAAGGCUUUAUCGAUAAACAAUUUAAAAUCAUGUGGAUCAUAUCAAACUAAAUGUUGUCUAUUAAAGUGAGACUUCUUAUAACAUGCCAAGGUUAGUCAUAUUCACAAUCUAGAAUUUAUCAACAUGUUUCAAUUUGUGCACGUAAAAUUUAGAUGCUCAAUUGGACUUUGAAUGAUUAAAAAAUUCAUUCAUAAGUUUUAUAUCAUCAAGUACUCUUUUAGAGAUGAUCAUGCAUUGUAAUACAUGAAAGGAUUAAUAACUCCUAAUCAUAUAAAUAUAUGUGUAUUUCCACUUAGAUUUAUGUGAGUUAUUAAGUAAGAUAUAAUAUUUAGUUGCAGAAUUAGAGUAUAUUUCAUGCAUGACAUCAUAUUUAUGUUUUUUUUUCUUGUUUUCAAUUAAAUUUUAAUUAUUUUAAGUUGUAGAUAUUUUAGUAAGUGUUUUUGGCUUUACUUAGGUCCAAUUUGGCAUGAGGAAUGGGUUCAAAUAUGAGUAGAAGUAAAAUGAG
rnacentral:lncRNA from 1 species